rnacentral:rRNA from 1 species
AUUGAACGCUGGCGGCAGGCCUAACACAUGCAAGUCGAACGGUAACAGGAAGAAGCUUGCUUCUUUGCUGACGAGUGGCGGACGGGUGAGUAAUGUCUGGGCUACUGCCUGAUGGAGGGGGAUAACUACUGGAAACGGUAGCUACUACCGCAUAACGUCGCAAGACCAAAGAGGGGGACCUUCGGGCCUCUUGCCAUCGGAUGUGCCCAGAUGGGAUUAGCUAGUAGGUGGGGUAACGGCUCACCUAGGCGACGAUCCCUAGCUGGUCUGAGAGGAUGACCAGCCACACUGGAACUGAGACACGGUCCAGACUCCUACGGGAGGCAGCAGUGGGGAAUAUUGCACAAUGGGCGCAAGCCUGAUGCAGCCACGCCGCGUGUAUGAAGAAGGCCUUCGGGUUGUAAAGUACUUUCAGCGGGGAGGAAGGGAGUAAAGUUAAUACCUUUGCUCAUUGACGUUACCCGCAGAAGAAGCACCGGCUAACUCCGUG